UACGUAGGUGGCAAGCGUUGUCCGGAUUUACUGGGCGUAAAGAGCGCGCAGGCGGUCGGAUUAGUCGCGUGUGAAAGCCCCCGGCUCAACUGGGGAGGGUCACGCGAUACUGUUCGACUCGAAGGCAGGAGAGGGAAGCGGAAUUCCCGGUGUAGUGGUGAAAUGCGUAGAUAUCGGGAGGAACACCAGUGGCGAAGGCGGCUUCCUGGCCUGUUCUUGACGCUGAGGCGCGAAAGCUAGGGUAGCAAACGGG
rnacentral:rRNA from 1 species